UGGCAUAGUGAAUAAUUGGGUCAAUGGUUGACGUGGCUCUCAAGUUGUGGGUGCAAGAAAACUGUUUGAUAAAAUAUCUCAAAGACAUAUUGACUUGGAGAUAAAGUAAUAGUUGAGGAAACAACAAGAUGAAGCAGAGAAACGGUUUUGAGCUUUGAAUAUGUAAUUGGGAUAUGUAGCUGACACACCUUUGUGAAUAUAUGGAGUAAUUUGAAUAUGUAGUUGAAUAUAAUAUAUGAUAUGUAGCUGACACGGCUUUGUUAAUAUACAGAGUGAUUGCUGCUAAUUUAAGAAGUGGUUUUCAGCUUUGAGGUAAAGUGUCUUCAGUUUGUAUUUUUUGUUUUACUGAUAUUACUAUACCUUUCUAAAUCUAAUUAAUAUUACAGAGAGAA